AAAGGUAAGCUACUAAGAGCGAAUGGUGGAUGCCUUGACUGGUAAAGGCGAUGAAGGACGUACUAGACUGCGAUAAGCUACGGGGAGCUGUCAAGAAGCUUUGAUCCGUAGAUUUCCGAAUGGGGCAACCCAAUGUAUAGAGAUAUACAUUACCUAUAUAGGAGCGAACGAGGGGAAUUGAAACAUCUUAGUACCCUCAGGAAAAGAAAUCAAUAGAGAUUGCGUCAGUAGCGGCGAGCGAAAGCGCAAGAGGGCAAACCCAGUGCUUGCACUGGGGGUUGUAGGACUGCAAUGUGCAAGAGCUGAGUUUAGCAGAACAUUCUGGAAAGUAUAGCCAUAGAGGGUGAUAGUCCCGUAUGCGAAAAACAAAGCUUAGCUAGCAGUAUCCUGAGUAGGGCGGGACACGAGGAAUCCUGUCUGAAUCCGGGUCGACCACGAUCCAACCCUAAAUACUAAUACCAGAUCGAUAGUGCACAAGUACCGUGAGGGAAAGGUGAAAAGAACUGAGGUGAUCAGAGUGAAAUAGAACCUGAAACCAUUUGCUUACAAUCAUUCAGAGC
rnacentral:rRNA from 1 species